UUAAACUAUAACCAAACACACAUUUAUUUUAAAGCUUAACCGGAUACUGAACCGAUUUUUUCACAUAGUUGGGUAAGAAGCGUUCAUGGCAAGACCACAUUGUCCGUGUUUAGCCUUGGUAUCUUUUUUGAUCCUCAUGUAUCCACGUUCUCCCCAUUUUGGUCCCCAUGAGUUCUUGAGGAUCCAGUACUUUGAUCCGUUGCUAGAUUUGCCGUAUCCAACUACAGCUACCCCGUGAUCAAGAUGAGUUGAGCACUCUCCGCUGAACA
rnacentral:lncRNA from 1 species